UUUGUAACGAUUACACAAGCAAAGUCAUUUGUUGAACGAGUGAAUUGCUAAGCAAAAAUCUCUUAUCAGAAAAGCAGGAUAAAGGCGUUUCUGAGGUAAACCAUGGUUGUUAUAGUCGAUGGACUAGAUGAGAGGGUUAAACGUUCGAUCUGUGGGAGCAUUUUCGACGAUCCAUGAAAAACGUCAUAUGGACUUCGCUUUUGUAGAAACUGUCUCUUCGGCCGAAAAUUAGAAUAUUUAUUCAGUGGAAAGCUGUGGGCGCUCACUGACUCAUUUCAUUGGCUGAACCAUGGUCGUCACAAUCGACGUUAUAGUGGAUACUGAUAUGAAAUUCGUAAACAAAGUAGACCAGAGGCUUAAUUGCCCGAUCUGUAAGAAGGUUUUCGAUAAGCCCUGGCAAACAUCAUGUGGUCAUCGAUUUUGUUGGGAUUGUCUGGAACGUCUUUUAGGACUAGAUGACCCAAGAUGUCCGAUAGACGGUGAAUCAAUUUCAAGACAGCAAUCUUUUAGGGAUAAAUGCUGUGAGAGAGAAGUUCUUAAUCUCCAGUGUUUCUGCCGA